rnacentral:lncRNA from 1 species
AUUUAAGCAUUUAGCAACCGCCGAAACUCUAUCUUGUUGGCUGCGGUGGCGGAGGAGGACGACAGGAAAGGCUUUUCGUCUAGAAUUUCAGUGGAUUGAGUGAAUAGAAAAGAAAAGAUGGUAAUUGAUUUUUCUUUUUGUUUUUCUUUUUUGUUUGUAAUCGGGCCAAAUGGACUGGGUGUGGUGGGUUGAGUAGAGUACUUUUUUAUUUUUGGUUGGAUUGGGCUUUAUAUUUAGGCAUUAGUAGAUGCUUUUUUAAAUUUUAGCAUAAAUGGGACACUUACUCAAAAGUGUUCCAAACAUGUGUCCCUAUAAUCUAAUUCUGUUGUAAUGGUUGGAGGAAUCUGGGCUCCUAGGAUUU